GAACUGAAGAGUUUGAUCAUGGCUCAGAUUGAACGCUGGCGGCAGGCCUAACACAUGCAAGUCGAGCGGAUGAGAGGAGCUUGC
rnacentral:rRNA from 1 species